UACGUAGGGUGCGAGCGUUGUCCGGAAUUAUUGGGCGUAAAGGGCUCGUAGGCGGUUUGUUGCGUCGGGAGUGAAAACUUACAGCUUAACUGUGAGCGUGCUUCCGAUACGGGCAGACUUGAGGUAUUCAGGGGAGAACGGAAUUCCUGGUGUAGCGGUGAAAUGCGCAGAUAUCAGGAGGAACACCGGUGGCGAAGGCGGUUCUCUGGGAAUAUCCUGACGCUGAGGAGCGAAAGUGUGGGGAGGCGAACAGG
rnacentral:rRNA from 1 species